rnacentral:lncRNA from 1 species
GAGUGUUUUGGACUGUCUUUGAAGCCCACAGCUGUGAGCUGCCAGAGGGGAGACCAGGAAUGGUUCUGGUUUCUGCACUGUGCCUCAGAUCAGGCAUGAUGGGUCCAGCUCUUGCGGAGGAAGGAGCUCUGGCUGAGUCAGGCUCAGGUACUCACUGCCUCUGCCAGCAGUCCUUUCCUGCUGUAAAUGCUGAUUCCACCGUGAAUUCAUAGGAUCAAACGAAUAUUCCCUAGUGUUUCCAGGGACAGCAUCACGGGUGCAGAUGCCAAGGCCAGCGCGUUCCCCUGGCAUUCCGAGGUCUCCUUACUCCACCGAGUGGCCGGUCACUCCACUGCACGUGUGUCACCACCUGCCGAGGUUGGCAAGAAAAAUAAUACGUAAAGCAGAGAUCCAUCCAACAUGGUUCUCUCCUACCUCAAUCAGCCACCAAAAAGAAAAGAAAUCCUCUCCAAGCAGUGACCAAAUGGUUCAUUUGUUCCUCCACAAGACAUACAACUACUCCUUAACUAUCAAAUCUAUUACACAGCAAAUGCCAAAACCAGGUUCAGAGAAACUUUGUGAGGGUGAACUCUGCUCUGUUCAAAUUCUUACUGUUUCUGCAUGAGUUUGUGGGCCAGAUAAAUUACUACUCCAUCCCUGAAUCCCUUCUGGAAAAAUGUUACAGCAGGGAUUACUGUAACAAGCAUAUAUCAAACCAGGAGUUCUGUGGAAAGGAAGUAUAUGUGGACAGAUUCUUGGUAGAUGUUUCAGAGAUGUUUAUUUCUCCAGCCGCAUGGCCGGGGCUCUGCUCAGGAACCCCGCAGUCACAGGACCCGAGGGUCCUUGCCCACACAGGGAAACACAAACCAACCAAUGGGGAAUGAGGCUGACCAGGGGCAGGGAAACCCCGUGUCUCACCCCCAGGGCCCUGCUCCCAGGGCUCCAUGGCAGGGGGGGGACCCCAACAGAAAAACAUGAGAAUGUCUCAGGGUUCAGAAGUGACACAUAAAAAUUGUGCUGCCAUACUUAAGAAUAUUUACAGGAUAAUAGACACAACAUGACAAUGAAGAAUUGCUCCAAGAUUUCCAUCUUGCCUCAGAAUUUCCUCAGAGAUUCUUCUUUUGUUGUGGCUUUGAAAGAAACUUCUAGGUUUCUUUCUCUGGCUUGGAAAAGGCAGAUAGUUAUAGAAAGCCAAAACUGUUCAUGCUAAAGCAGCAGUACUGAAUUACUGAUUUUUUAACAGAGAUUUGUUUCUGGGAAAAUUAACUGAUAGUGAGCAAAAUAAGUCAGUGGCUGUCAGGCUACCUAUGCAAUCAGUCUGCAGCUGUAGAGGAUGAAAUACAAACACUGAGCUGUUUUCUUCUGACUGAUCCAGCAUCUGUAAAAAAUCUUAUUAAUAUUUAGAAUGAAUCACUCUAAUGGAUUUGCCAAGUUACUGCCCUUAUCUGGAAAAGGCACAGUGCAUGAAAUCAAAGUGGACAAAGUAUGUCACUGCUAAUCAGAUACACAGUGGGACUUGAACUCCUUUCAAAGCAACUGAUCUCCUACAGCAUCUGCUGGACAGGUGACCUACCUUUGUGAUGAUCUAGAGCUGUGACACAUCAGUGACAAAGCCUUUGCUGGAAUAAAAUGAAUCUUCCUUGAUGCUAAAGGAUUGCUGCUUUGUUGUUUGCAUUUAAAUGAACCCUAGUUAAAAGCCUGUCUCCAUGGGCAAGUGUUUUUAUUCUAGCAUAUUUAUAUUUGGCAUAGCCCCUAAACCCAACAAAUGGUUACCACCAGCCUUCUUGACGCCAUUUUUUUUCCUCACAAGCUGUCUCUGCCAACAAAAAGACCUGCAGAAGCUAAAACAAAGCAGGACAAGGAACAGAUGCUUCAGGCCUGUGACUGAGCACCAGCCCAUGGCAAUGUGAAUCAAUGUCCCAUUUGAUAAAAAAGGGUGAGUACAGCACUGAACGCUGCUUUCUGGAGAGACCACCUUCUCAAUUAGUUUCCUCUAUCAAGCCCUAUAGUAUUAAUUUAGGAUUAAUGCAUAAUAUUGUAUAUAACAGGACUGAGGACCAGCCAACUCAAACUGCUGUCAUGGUUUAACCCCAGCCAGCAAACAAACACCACAGAGCUGCCCACUUAUUUCCCCCCCCCAAGACGGAAGGGGGAGAGACUUAAGGGUAAAAGGGAGAAAACUCGUAUGUUGAAAUAAAGACAGUUUAAUAGGCAACAAGCAAAUAAAAACAAGGAAUUCAUUCACCACGUCCCACGGGCAGGCAGGUGUGCAGCUGUCUCCAAGGAAGCAGGGCUCCAUCACAUGCCACAGUUACUUGGGGAGACAAAUGGCAUCACUCCCAAGGUCCCCCCUUUCCUUCUUCUCCCCCAGCUGAGCAUGACACCACCUGGUCUGGGACAUCCCUUGGGUCAGUGAGGGUCAGCUGUCCUGGCUGUGUUCCCUCCAACUCCUUGUGCUCCCAAAAGGCCCCUCACUAGUGGGGUCUGGUGAGAGCAGAAAAGGCCUUGCCAGAACUGCUCAGCCACAACUAAAACAACCCUGUGUUAUCAACACUGUCUCCAGUACACAUCCAAAACAUAGCCCACACUAUCUACUAGGAAGAAAAUUGACUUUAUCCCAGCCCAAACCAGCACAUUACCCAGGCAAAAACAUAUUGAUUUGCUUGGCAAAUUAUUUAAAAAUAUUCCUGGAAUGCAGAUAAGCAAAUUUACACACUGGUAGCAACCUCCUCUUGUUCAUCUAAAAGCCAAAACAGAAAAGAUGUCAUUUUCAAGCAGUGAAAUCAAUGUGAUGCUGAAGAGAGAUGAAUUAGACCUAUUUAUUGAAAAAAGCAUUUAAAAAACCAAAUCUGGAUUUGCAUUGCUAAAGUUCUCAAGAAUACAAGAAGGGAACACAAAAAGAAAAGCAAUUAUUAGGCGCCAGUAGUGCAGCUACUGGGUGAUUGCAUGUGUGUUCACACAGCAUUGUGCCUCAGUUCUUGCUAAGACAGUGCUAUCAGGUAUUUCAUGACAGUUUCAGUGGCUAGAGUAAUUGAGAGAUUGCUAUUUACUUAGGAUUCUGACAGUUGGAAGGAGCUGUUGUGCCUCCUAUCGGACACCAAUAAAAAACAACUACUUCAUGCUCCAUAGCAAAAGUCAAAUGAUGUCUGACCAAGUCUCUUCUUGACUAUGCAUUAUAAAAAUAAAUGUUGCAAAAUAAUAGGUCUCUGCAAGACUUAAAAAAAUCUCUAAAAGACAUGGAUCAAGAUUUUGUAUAUCCUUCCUUUAAACACUCCUAUCGUCUUUCAGAAUUAUGCUGUUACUGCUCAAAUAAUGCUCCUUUCCACUCCCCAGGCUAAACCCAGAAGGUUUUAAGAGGUUUCUGUCUGUUGGGACUCUUUGGUAUAACAAGAGGGUAUUAACAGACCUUCUGCUUCAGGAUACAGAAAAGCAGGAAUUCCUGCUGGAUGUGCUUCAGGUGUUGAGGCUAAAGGCAAAGUUUGAGUAAUGGGCAUUAAGAAGAAUGAAAACAAGAUUCAGAUGAAAAUGGUCAAAUCCUCCUCUGUGGGAUGUUCUUCUCUCUCCAUAGCACAGGAAGUCUGAAGAAUCCUGGAUCCUAAUUCAGGCACCUCAGCAAGAUGAGAUGGACUGUGAUUCCUCUACGGCAGGUCCUCUCUGUCCUGGCAUUUCCAUGUCUUCAGCUUGUAAUGCAGCCAGGUGACUCAAGCAGAAGCCUGAAGACAAAGGAAGGAACAUUCCACAGCCUCAUGAAGCAGGUCAGCUCUCCCAGAGGAACACAAAGUAAAUCAAGUCAAAUCAGUUUUACUCUUGGUGUGCAAACAGACAAGGGAGCAUUCAGGGAAGGGCAAGAGCACAAAAUCCUUCCAAGGCAAAGGUUCAGGGCUUGUUCUUUAUGACAGGGGACUUCCCUCUGGAAGAGUCACUUACGAACAGUGUUAAGGCAGCAAAUCACAGCUUAAAAAUUAAAAAGUGGUAACUCAUUCAAGGAAAAAAAAUGCCUUUCCACAAGCACUUGUGCACAGUAUCAGAAAGAUGAGGAAGGCUGUGUGUCCAAACAGCCACUGUGCCUCCUUUGGCUUAGGAUCCUGGACUCACACUCCUCCAGUGCCCUGGUGCUGGGCAGGAAGCCAG